rnacentral:rRNA from 1 species
UAGGGAAUCUUCCGCAAUGGACGCAAGUCUGACGGAGCAACGCCGCGUGAGUGAAGAAGGAUUUCGGUUCGUAAAACUCUGUUGUUAGAGAAGAACAGCGCAUAGAGUAACUGUUAUGCGUGUGACGGUAUCUAACCAGAAAGCCACGGCUAACUACGUGCCAGCAGCCGCGGUAAUACGUAGGUGGCAAGCGUUGUCCGGAUUUAUUGGGCGUAAAGCGAGCGCAGGCGGUCAAUUAAGUCUGAUGUGAAAGCCCCCGGCUCAACCGGGGAGGGUCAUUGGAAACGGGUUGACUUGAGUGCAGAAGAGGAGAGUGGAAUUCCAUGUGUAGCGGUGAAAUGCGUAGAUAUAUGGAGGAACACCAGGGGCGAAGGCGACUCUCUGGUCUGUAACUGACGCUGAGGUUCGAAAGCGUGGGUAGCAAACAGG